rnacentral:rRNA from 1 species
UACGUAGGGUGCAAGCGUUGUCCGGAAUUAUUGGGCGUAAAGAGCUCGUAGGCGGUCAGUCGCGUCUGCUGUGAAAACUCGGGGCUUAACUCCGGGCCUGCAGUGGGUACGGGCUGACUAGAGUGCGGUAGGGGAGACUGGAAUUCCUGGUGUAGCGGUGAAAUGCGCAGAUAUCAGGAGGAACACCAGUGGCGAAGGCGGGUCUCUGGGCCGUAACUGACGCUGAGGAGCGAAAGCGUGGGGAGCGAACAGG